CUCUGCUGGAGUCAGAACUGCAUUCUUUUGGGAUCUUCUUAGACUCCCUUGUGGCUCUCUUGGGAAGCCCAUGGUAAUUACACACCACAAUUACCAUGUGUAUCUCCACUGUGGUAUGGCUAGAAUCAAAAUUCCUCCUCUAUGCCUGUCAGAGCAAAGAGCCGCGAAUUUCUCUGAAGAUCGAUACUUCGCUGGUUGAAAGGAAAGCAUGCAAAGGAAGGAUGUGGGAAAGCUUUGAAGGAAAAAGGUAGCUGUACCCAGUGUCAAGAGAAGAAGGAAGGAGAAAGCAGCACACAGAGGGAAG
rnacentral:lncRNA from 1 species